UACGUAGGGGGCGAGCGUUGUCCGGAUUUAUUGGGCGUAAAGAGCGUGUAGGCGGCCAGGUAGGUCUGCUGUGAAAACUCGAGGCUCAACCUCGAGACGUCGGCGGAAACCAUCUGGCUAGAGUCCGGAAGAGGAGAGUGGAAUUCCUGGUGUAGCGGUGAAAUGCGCAGAUAUCAGGAAGAACACCGAUGGCGAAGGCAGGUCUCUGGGCCAUAACUGACGCUGAGAAGCGAAAGCAUGGGGAGCGAACAGG
rnacentral:rRNA from 1 species